CUCCGCUUGGUGUAGUUGGUGUAAGUUUACAACAGUCCACACAGAAUCGAAAGGUCCCUAGUUCGAUUCUGGGAGCGGAGA